rnacentral:rRNA from 1 species
UACAGAGGGUGCAAGCGUUGUUCGGAAUUAUUGGGCGUAAAGGGAGUGUAGGCGGCUUGUUAAGUCUUCUGUGAAAUCUACGGGCUCAGCCUGUAACGUGCAGAGGAAACUGGCAGCUUGAGUGUCGGAGAGGAUAGGGGAAUACCCGGUGUAGAGGUGAAAUUCGUAGAGAUCGGGUGGAACACCAGUGGCGAAGGCGCCUAUCUGGCUGACAACUGACGCUGAGACUCGAAAGCAUGGGGAGCAAACAGG